AGUUUCCUUGCACAAGCUCUCCUCUUUUUUGCUUGCUGCCAUCCACGUAAGAUGUGACUUGAUCCUCCUUGCCUUCCACCAUAAUUGUGAGGCUUCCCCAGUCACGUGGAACUAUCCUUCAGUACAAUGUUGCACAGUCACUGUGAGAAUAUCCAUCUGUCCUGAACUUAGAGAAAAUAGAUGAACCCACGGGCAGGGUCGAGCAACUCUGGAUGGGAGGAAUGAACAACUCUGGACACCACCUUUAUGAACUGUAACACUGUAACACUCACCUGGAAGGUCUGCAGUUUCAGUCCUGAGGCCAGCGAGACCAGGAACCCACCGGAAGGAACGAACAACUCCAGAUGUGCCGCCUUUAAGAGCUGUAACACUCACCGUUAAGGCCUGCAGCUUCACUCCUGAAGUCAGCGAGACCAUGAGCCCACCAGAAAGAAGAAACCCCGGACACAUCUGAAAAUAUGAAGGAA
rnacentral:lncRNA from 1 species